AAUUAAUAUGUCAUCAUGCUUUCUGUUGCUUAAAAUGAACAGAUUCUUUAUUUUUCAGUAUGCAGACCUACUCUUGAAAAAGAGAGUGAGAUCUCGGUUCUCACAUUGGAAGCUUUUUUUUUUUUUAACCUCUCACAGAAGAAGAUCUGAAAGUGUUCUUGAAUCAUGCAUUAUAUUUGCCGGAGGACUCAUCUUUUCCUUGUAUGUUAAAGAAUUCAAUUCAAGGAUGAAAGCAUACUUCUUGUGAUGUUUCCUUUGUGACAUUAAAAACACUGAAGCUGCUUUUCCUUUGAGGCUUUGAAAAGUAGUGUGUUCAACUUGCAACAACAUAACCAGAGAAAACUCUUAUUUCAAAAAUUUGGCCGUCCUUCUCGUCAGGUUCUUAGGAGUUGGGUUUGAUUUAGUCAGACUUAAUUGUUGCAAAGGUGCAGAGUAUUUAAGAUGUCAAAAGUUUCAAUGCAGCUCUGAACCCAUUGUCUAAUGUUGAUGGAACCAUCAGAAGCAUCCUGAUGUUUCUGCGAGUAGUCAAACACUUCUAUCAAGCAGUGUCAAACAUGGAUUUAAUCCCUGGAUUGUUAACACUGCAAAGCUUCAAGAGUGCUCUUCUCUGCAUCCAGAAGCAGCCAAAGCUUGAUGAUGUGAAAGGUUAGUCACUUCACCAAUGAACCUCCCUCUUACUUUUGCUUAAAAUCUACAUUCACUAAACUUAUUGUGUUUUCUAGUUCAAUUGUAAAGAUUUAUUUAAAUUAUCAGCUUUUG